rnacentral:lncRNA from 1 species
CAUAGAACUAUGGAGGUAUUAUAGUAUCCAGAGGGGAAAAAUAAUUGUCUCUUAUUUCAACCCCUCUAAACAGGAUACCAUACUUGCAGAACUCCUUCAGAUACAUAAGGAACACAUUGUAGGAUAUCAUGAACAUGAUUCUCUUUUGGACCACAAAGAAGAAGAAGAGUUGACUGAAGAAGAAAGAAAAGCAGCUUGGGCUGAGUAUGAAGCAGAGAAGAAGGGACUGACCAUGCGUUUCAACAUACCAACUGGGACCAAUUUACCCCCUGUCAGUUUCAACUCUCAAACUCCUUAUAUUCCUUUCAAUUUGGGAGCCCUGUCAGCAAUGAGUAAUCAACAGCUGGAGGUGAGUUGUGAAGUACAAAAGUAGUUUAACAUGAAUUAAAGGCAAUUUCAAAUGCCUUGUUGUUGAGGGUUCAUUCUCCAAAAGAUUACCACUGAAUAGACCAAUAAAUUUUUAUUUUAUUUGUUGACUGUUUUGAAGCAACAUAAUGUUGUAAAAUAUGGUUUGUUCAGAGCACAAAGGAAUCAGUUGNAACUGCUAUAAAUUGGCAAAUGGAAGGAUUCCUAUACUUUAACACUAUGCUGUCUUUCUGCCUUAUAUAACUUAUUUCUUGCAUUCUUCUAGGACCUCAUUAAUCAAGGAAGAGAAAAAGUUGUAGAAGCAACAAACAGUGUGACAGCAGUGAGGAUUCAACCUCUUGAAGAUAUAAUUUCAGCUGUAGUAAGCUAAUUGGCAAUUGUCUUAUUCCAACCUCAAAUUUGUUCCCUCCACCCCCUACUGCCAUUUUCAAAAAUUUUUAAUUGUUUCCAUCUUAUAAAUUGAUUUGCAAUAGUAAAAUACUGGUAAAAUGGAUGGAUAAUAGUGCCAAACGGUAACCCAGCAAUUUUACAUAGAUGUUGGCACAAAAGAGAAAUGGAUAAAAUGUAAGAAUUGAGAAAUGAAACAUGGAAAUGUAUGCAUUGUUUACAUAAACAUUUUAAUUACCAGUUGCACAAAUUAAAUCUAAAUUAUUGUUUCAUUCCAGAGAUAGCCAGUCCAGGUACAGCAGUGAACAACUUAGUACCCUGUUUUGCAUCAUGCUUUUCUUUAGAAAAGAAUAAAAGAAAGGGGGGGGACCUUGGAAAAUCCCAAAUAUCUUAAAAUACCUUAAUUAUUUUUUCUUCAAUAAGGAGUAAAUAGAAAAUUUUUCUUUUAGUGGAAGGAGAACAUGAAUCUCUCAGGGCCCCAAGUACAGGCGUUAGCAUUAAGUAGACAAGCCAGCCAGGAGCUUGAUGUUAAACGAAGAGAAGCAAUCUACAAUGAUGUAUUGACAAAACAACAGAUGGUAAGAAUUCUGACUUCUGUUUCUAGGUUAUGUUUAAUUUUCUUGAAUUUAUAAUAAUAAGUUUGUAUG